AUAAAACUGGCACUACGCUAUUAUAUGUUUGCGCUCGUUUUUGUUGUUUUUGAUGUGGAAACCGUCUUUCUAUACCCUUGGGCAAUGAGUUUCGACGUAUUGGGUGUAUCCGUUUUUAUCGAAGCUUUGAUUUUCGUGCUUAUCUUAGUUGUUGGUUUAGUUUAUGCAUGGCGAAAAGGAGCCUUGGAAUGGUCUUAA
rnacentral:rRNA from 1 species